UGACCAUUCCUUAUGUUUAAGGAAUUAGUGCCAUGCGGACAGCCGGGUCAAAUGCCGA
rnacentral:sRNA from 1 species